GAUCUUUGAUCUUAGUGGCGGACGGGUGAGUAACACGUGAGAAUCUGCCCUUAGGAAGAGGAUAACAGCUGGAAACGGUUGCUAAUACUCUAUACGCCGAGAGGUAAAAGGAUUUAUCCACCUUAGGAAGAGCUCGCGUCUGAUUAGCUUGUUGGUAAGGUAAUGGCUUACCAAGGCGACGAUCAGUAGCUGGUUUGAGAGGACGACCAGCCACACUGGGACUGAGACACGGCCCAGACUCCUACGGGAGGCAGCAGUGGGGAAUUUUCCGCAAUGGGCGAAAGCCUGACGGAGCAAUACCGCGUGAGGGAUGAAAGCCUGUGGGUUGUAAACCUCUUUUCUCAAGGGAAGAAGUUCUGACGGUACUUGAGGAAUAAGCAUCGGCUAACUCUGUGCCAGCAGCCGCGGUAAUACAGAGGAUGCAAGCGUUAUCCGGAAUCACUGGGCAUAAAGCGUCUGUAGGUUGCCUACCAAGUCUGCUGUUAAAGAUCAGGGCCUAACCCUGGGAAAGCAGUGGAAACUAGUAGGCUUGAGUGUGGUAGAAGUAGAGGGAAUUCCUGGGGUAGCGGUGAAAUGCGUAGAUAUUAGGAAGAACACC
rnacentral:rRNA from 1 species